rnacentral:rRNA from 1 species
AGAGAAUAGAUACCCAGGUAGUCCCAGCCGUAAACGAUGCUCGCUAGGUGUCAGGCAUGGCGCGACCGUGUCUGGUGCCGCAGGGAAGCCGUGAAGCGAGCCACCUGGGAAGUACGGCCGCAAGGCUGAAACUUAAAGGAAUUGGCGGGGAGCACAACAACGGGUGGAGCCUGCGGUUUAAUUGGACUCAACGCCGGACAACUCACCGGGGGCGACAGCAAUAUGUAGGCCAAGCUGAAGACUUUGCCUGAAUCGCUGAGAGGAGGUGCAUGGCCGUCGCCAGUUCGUACUGUGAAGCAUCCUGUUAAGUCAGGCAACGAGCGAGACCCGUGCCCACUGUUACCAGCAUGUCCUUUGGGAUGAUGGGUACUCUGUGGGGACCGCCGGUGUCAAAUCGGAGGAAGGUGCGGGCCACGGUAGGUCAGUAUGCCCCGGAAUCUCCCGGGCUACACGCGGGCUACAAUGAAUGGGACAAUGGGUCCUUCCCUGAAAAGGGUUGGUAAUCUCACAAACCCAUCC